rnacentral:misc_RNA from 1 species
GAUGAAGAACGUAGCGAAAUGCGAUAAGUAGUGUGAAUUGCAGAAUUCAGUGAAUCAUCGAAUCUUUGAACGCACAUUGCGCCCCAUGGUAUUCCGUGGGGCAUGCCUGUUCGAGCGUCAUUUACCCCCUCAAGCUCCGCUUGGUGUUGGGCGUCUGUCCCGCUUCGCGCGCGGACUCGCCCCAAAGGUAUUGGCAGCGGUCGAGCCAGCUUCUCGCGCAGCACAUUGCGCUUCUCGAGGCACCGGUGGGCCCGCGUCCAUCAAGCUCACCCCCCCAGUUUGACCUCGGAUCAGGUAGGGAUACCCGCUGAACUUAAGCAUAUCAAUAAGCGGAGGA